AGAUGGCGACCGGCGCACGGGUGAGUAACACGUAUCCAACCUGCCGAUAACUCGGGGAUAGCCUUUCGAAAGAAAGAUUAAUACCCGAUGGCAUAAUAGAACCGCAUGGUUUGAUUAUUAAAGAAUUUCGGUUAUCGAUGGGGAUGCGUUCCAUUAGGCAGUUGGUGGGGUAACGGCCCACCAAGCCUUCGAUGGAUAGGGGUUCUGAGAGGAAGGUCCCCCACAUUGGAACUGAGACACGGUCCAAACUCCUACGGGAGGCAGCAUG
rnacentral:rRNA from 1 species